GACGAACGCUGGCGGCGUGCUUAACACAUGCAAGUCGAGCGGUAAGGCCCUUUCGGGGGUACACGAGCGGCGAACGGGUGAGUAACACGUGGGUGACCUGCCCUCCAGCUCUGGGAUAAGCCUGGGAAACCGGGUCUAAUACCGGAUAUGACUCCAUGACGCAUGUUGUGGGGUGGAAAGCCUUGUGCGGCUGAGGAUGGGCCCGCGGCCUAUCAGCUUGUUGGUGGGGUGAUGGCCUACCAAGGCGACGACGGGUAGCCGGCCUGAGAGGGCGACCGGCCACACUGGGACUGAGACACGGCCCAGACUCCUACGGGAGGCAGCAGUGGGGAAUCUUGCGCAAUGGGCGAAAGCCUGACGCAGCGACGCCGCGUGAGGGAUGACGGCCUGGUGUAACU
rnacentral:rRNA from 1 species